rnacentral:rRNA from 1 species
UACGUAGGGGGCUAGCGUUGUCCGGAAUUAUUGGGCGUAAAGAGCGUGUAGGCGGUCCGGUAAGUCGGCUGUGAAGGUCCAGGGCUCAACCCUGGGAUGCCGGUCGAUACUGCCGGACUAGAGUUCGGAAGAGGCGAGUGGAAUUCCCGGUGUAGCGGUGAAAUGCGCAGAUAUCGGGAGGAACACCUAUGGCGAAGGCAGCUCGCUGGGACGUUACUGACGCUGAGACGCGAAAGCGUGGGGAGCAAACAGG